GACGAACGCUGGCGGCGUGCUUAACACAUGCAAGUCGAACGGAAAGGCCCUGCUUUUGUGGGGUGCUCGAGUGGCGAACGGGUGAGUAACACGUGAGUAACCUGCCCUUGACUUUGGGAUAACUUCAGGAAACUGGGGCUAAUACCGGAUAGGAGCUCCUGCUGCAUGGUGGGGGUUGGAAAGUUUCGGCGGUUGGGGAUGGACUCGCGGCUUAUCAGCUUGUUGGUGGGGUAGUGGCUUACCAAGGCUUUGACGGGUAGCCGGCCUGAGAGGGUGACCGGCCACAUUGGGACUGAGAUACGGCCCAGACGCCUACGGGAGGCAGCAGGGGAGAAUAUUGCACAAUGGGCGGAAGCCUGAUGCAGCAACGCCGCGUGCGGGAUGACGGCCUUCGGGUUGUAAACCGCUUUCGCCUGUGACGAAGCGUGAGUGACGGUAAUGGGUAAAGAAGCACCGGCUAACUACGUG
rnacentral:rRNA from 1 species